rnacentral:rRNA from 1 species
UACGAAGGGGGCUAGCGUUGUUCGGAAUUACUGGGCGUAAAGCGCGCGCAGGCGGUCUUCCAAGUCAGUGGUGAAAGCCCGGAGCUCAACUCCGGAACUGCCAUUGAAACUGUGAGACUUGAGGACGAGAGAGGUGAGUGGAAUUCCCAGUGUAGAGGUGAAAUUCGUAGAUAUUGGGAAGAACACCGGUGGCGAAGGCGGCUCACUGGCUCGGUAUCUGACGCUCAGGCGCGACAGCGUGGGGAUCAAACAGG